UACGGAGGAUCCAAGCGUUAUCCGGAUUUAUUGGGUUUAAAGGGUGCGUAGGUGGCCUGUUAAGUCAGGGGUGAAAGACGGUAGCUCAACUAUCGCAGUGCCCUUGAUACUGAUGGGCUUGAAUGAACUAGAGGUAGGCGGAAUGUGACAAGUAGCGGUGAAAUGCAUAGAUAUGUCACAGAACACCAAUUGCGAAGGCAGCUUACUAUGGUUUUAUUGACACUGAGGCACGAAAGCGUGGGGAGCGAACAGG
rnacentral:rRNA from 1 species